rnacentral:piRNA from 1 species
UAGGCAAACUAGAUCCCAUCCUUAUAGCCA